AUGCACGAUAUCUUACGUGAAUUGGCAGUUGAUUUGUGCAAGAAGAACUGUUUUGGUGUUACAUAUGAGAAUAAAUGUGAAGGGCCUCAUCAGAAGGAUGGACGUCGAUUGGUACUGCACAAACUAAAAGAUCAUAUUCAACAACCAUUUUCCAAUAUACACCAACUUCGAACUAUCAUUACACUGGGUGAUAGCAAGUCAUCAUUCACUCUACUAGCUCUUUUGUGUAAUGAGUCAAGAUAUAUGACAGUGCUAGAAUUAAGUGGUUUACCCAUCGAGAAGAUUCCAGAUGCUAUUGGAGGUCUUUUUAAUCUCCGCCAUUUGGGUUUGCGUGGUUCGAAGGUGAAGAUGCUCCCGAAGUCUAUUGAGAAGCUUUCAAAUUUGUUGACCUUGGACCUUGGUGGUUCUGACAUACAUGACUUGCCUAGUGGGAUUGUGAAACUGAAGAAGCUCAGGCACUUAUUUGCUGAGAGAGUAACUAAUCCACAAGGGAAAGAAUUUAAAUGUCGCAGUGGUAUGCGCAUCCCCAGUGGUCUUGGAAAUCUGACAAGCCUGCAGACGUUACAAGCAUUAGAAGCACAAGAUGAGUCUAUUAAACAUUUAGGGGAGCUGAGGCAACUAAGAAGCUUGAGGUUAUUGAAUGUGAAGGGAAUCUACUGUGGACGGAUCAAUGAGUCACUAGUUGAGAUGCAGUAUUUGUCAUACCUACAUGUGAGUGCAAGUGAUGAGAACGAGGUUCUCCUGUUGAAUGUCUCCUUGCCAAACCUAAAAAAGUUAAGUUUGAGAGGCCGACUAGCGGAAGGGGCAUUGGACGAGUCCCCUCUCUUCCAAGCUGUUGGGGGGCAUAACUUGCAUAUGUUGUCUCUCCGUUGGUCACAACUGAGUAAAGACCCCCUGCCACCGCUUUCUCGGUUGUCAAACUUGACGGAUCUUCAAUUCAGCAGAGCAUACAAUGGAGAGCAGCUGACGUUUCUUACAGGGUGGUUUCCCAAGCUAAAGGUUCUCGAACUAAGAGACUUGCCUAAUCUGAAUCGGCUAGAUAUACAGCAAGGUGCCAUGGUGAGCCUGAAGCAAUUAACCUUAGUCAACCUCAGAAGCAUGACGGAGGUCCCAGCUGGCAUCGAGUUCCUCUUGCCCCUCCAAUAUCUAAGCUUCCUGGAAAUCACCAAUGACUUCUUGACGGUGCUGUACCAAUCUUCUGUACUUGAAGGGCAGCGGUCGCACUAUUCUCUCCGAGACUGA
rnacentral:rRNA from 1 species